rnacentral:piRNA from 1 species
ACUAUGGGCUGACAUUAAGAGGU